UGCUGGCACAGAUGACAGGGAUAGCAGGAAUGGCAGGGAAGGCAGGGAAGGCAGAGCACGGGGCUGUUUCUUUAAGGCAAAAAAGAGAACUCUCAGGCUGGCACUUUGUGGAGUUUAGCCCAGAUCCCUUAAUUUUAAUUAGCGUUUCGUUUCAUCUCCUUCUCUCCCCCCUCAGCCCCACCUCCUUGGAAUCAGCAUUUCUGCAUCCUUUCCCGUGCAUUGCAGAGCAGCAGGGGAAGGUCUGGCUGGCACCUGCACACACUCACACACACUCACACACACACCCUGCAGGCUGGACGCACCUCUGCCGCGAGAGACAACCCUUCCCACGCUCCGGAUCUUCCUCCUCCCGGGCGAACUGGGCUGGGAGCAUCCCGGUCCUCACCUCAGGCGGUUCUGCCCCCCUUGCCGUCUCCGGCUGCAGCAGCAGCAGCAGCGCCGGGCACGGAGGACCUCGGGGCGGCCCCGAGCUCUGCAGGGAGCCAAGGCCAGCUGGGGGGGUAAGAGCUGAGCCUUGGGGGGCUAGAGCAUCCCCAGCAUCUGGGGCGUCCUGGAGUCCAGAGCAUCCCCAGCAUCCAGGGUGUCCUGGGCACAGAGCAUCCCUGGCAUCUGGAGUAUCCUGGGAUACAGAUCAUCCUCGGCAUCUGAAGUCUCCUGAGUGCAGAGCAUCUGGAGUAUCAGAGCAUCCUGGGGGCUUAUUAUUCCCUGGUCCAGUGCAUCGAGAGCAUCAGAGAAUCUCGAGUAUCCUGCCGUCCCUGGCAUCUCGAGUAUCCUGCCAUCCAGUACAUCCCCAGGAUCCAGCGGCAGCAUCCAGGGACAUCCCAGAGCAGGGGCAUUCGCAGGGACAAGGCACUGCCUGGCUGUGAGUAACGGGGAGGGAACCUUGCUCCUGCUGAUCGGCUCCUGGGAACAUCACUCUGCCCUGAGUGCCAGUGAAGAGAGAGAAUAGGGGAAAAGAGGGAGAGGAGGAGGAGGAGGAGGAGGAGGAAAGAGGAGGAGAGAAGAGGAGAAAGGAGGAGGACAGACACAGAGCAGAGAGGUGGUCAUUCUUCCCCUGGCUCCGGCGAUGGUCACAUAGCACAGGUCACGCCAGAGAAGGUUCCUCCAACCCCAAAGCUCCCAUGGAGGGUGACCUUGGGGCCCCCAAUUCCAGUGUGCUGGGGGAGCACUCCCUCCUCGUGGGGAGCAGCUGGGUGGCCGCUUUCCUGUGCUUCAUCAUUCUGCUGACCACGGUGGGGAACUUCCUCCUCAUCCUCCUCAUCAUCACUCAGCGCUCCCUCCGCAACACCUCCAACUACUUCUUGGUGUCCCUGUUCAUGUCGGAUCUGAUGGUGGGGUUGGUGGUGAUGCCCCCAGCCAUGCUCAACCAGCUCUACGGGCGCUGGGUGCUGCGGGGGGACUUCUGCUCCCUCUGGGCCUCCUUUGACGUCAUGUGCUGCAGCGCCUCUAUCCUCAACCUCUGCAUCAUCAGCCUGGACCGGUACCUGCUCAUCAUCUCCCCCCUCAAGUACAAGCUGCGCAUGACCUCCUGCAGGGCCCUCUGGCUCAUCCUGGCCACCUGGACUGUGGCUGCACUGGCCUCCUUCCUGCCCAUCAAGAUGGGGUGGCACAGGCUGGAGUUUGAGGAGCUGUCCCUGAACGUCACCUCGCUGGGGGACGAAGACCAGUGCCGGCUGGUGGUCAGUUUGCCGUAUGCCCUGGUGGCCUCCUGCCUCACCUUCUUCCUCCCCUCUGCUGCCAUCUCCUUCACCUACUGCCGCAUUCUCCUGGCUGCCCGCAAGCAGGCAGUGCAGGUGGCUUCCCUUGCCUCCAACGUGGCCUCCACCAGCACUACAGAUGACACCAUGGCACAGAUUCCCUGUGUCCCCAGCCAGCCCAUGGCUGGCAGCGAGAGCAGGAGGUUCACCAACAAACACAGCAAGAAGGCACUGAAGGCCAGUCUGACCCUGGGCAUCCUCCUGGGCAUGUUCUUCGUGGCCUGGCUCCCCUUCUUCAUUACCAAUGUGACGCAGCUUUCACACACGGAUCACCUCCAUCUCGUGUACUGCACUGAGAGGAGUGAUGGAAACACAUGCCAUGACUCAUGGAUAAGAGGUUUGGAGCUGCUUCAGCCCGAGGAACAUCAUGUCUUCUUGGAGCUGCGUUUCCUGACUCGGAGCAUGUCUGUCUCGGUUUCCUGUGAAGCAGUGAGUUACAGCCCACUGAAACCAUCGUGGUAAAUCAUGGAGAGCUGUACUAUGGGGGUUAAAUUGGGUGCAGAAUGUCCAACACUGAUUUUUGGAUGUUCUGUGGGGUGUGGGGGGGUGUGACUCGUCAUGGCUCUGUGGGUUGUGUGACAGUAGUAAUGGGAUCAAUGCCUCUUACAGCUCCAUCCUACAGCUUCCCAUUCUUGGCAAAGGACCACCACAUUUCUGACAAUCCGUUAAUUUUUAGAUGAUGCAAUUAGAAAAUACAGUCUCCCCCCUUUCAAAUAGGAAUCUAAAGAAAUAUUAUCAUUUAAAUGACAAUUCCAGGAUGCCUCCACCCAGCCCACCCCCACCAUAGCCACAAGCAGAGGGAACAGUGAGUAAUGUGGCAAGUGGGCUCUUAAAAAAAUCAAUAAACCAAAUUAUUUUAGUAAAUUCUUCCUCAAGUGCCUUUGGGCUGCAGAGCUGGGCUGGCACUUGGCCGCUGUGCCCUCCCUGGACCCCUUCUCCCAAGUCUUCUGCCUAAUUCCAAGCUCCCAUUAAUGGGUUUGACUGUGCUCCUGGAACUCACCAGUAUCCAAACAGACACAGACCAUCCCCUGGAUAUGGGAUGCUGGAAGAAACAGUCACACUCCUAGCAAAUCUCACUAGUUUUCUUUCCAUGUUGCCCAUGGAUGUUCCAGAACUCAACAAGAGUUUUUAUGACCAACUUGACCUUUACUUGGUACUUUGUACCCCCUGGGAACUGGGCCAGCAGUCAGGGAUGAGCGACUGGGACACACUGAGGGCUCAGCAGGUUCAAACCUCAAACUGUUCAAUACAUUUUCCCCUGGAUGUGUGGACGGAGAGCCUGGAGCUGGUGUCAAGCAUAGAGAUCAAUAUAUGCAUCUUCCCACAAAAUGGCUUUAUAUAAAGUCAUACUUUGACUACAACUCCAGCUAAAAAGGAGCAGGAAAAUGCACAAUGGAGUCUGGAAAUCCGUUAGGUACUAAAUCAGCCCUGGGAGAUGGACAGAGAGAGAGACAGAGAUCUCAUCAAGCCAGAUGUUCAAAAGCAAUAAUUCAUUACUGUCUCAUCAAGACAGUCUUUUGUAAUUAGGUGUUUGCUUGUGGACAAAGCCUCAGAUGAGUGGAGAAAUCCCAUCUUUUCCCUGCAGCCAACAGCAUCAACACUGACUGGCCAAACAGCCCCAGCACUGUGGGAUCCUGUGGCCUGUCUCCAGAGAUGUCUCUCAUCACUGCUCCAGAAUGGAGCAGAGAAGGUCUGAGCUCCCUUAGAUGUUGGAUUUGGGGAGAGGAAACACCAAGCACCGAACACAAACCGCUGUGCUUUGCUGUGUUACAGCAUCAUCCCCCAAACCAGCCAUGUCUUCGACUCCAUGACAAAUAAUCUGCAGUAUCCAGCAGCUUCCACUAAAACAACAGGAAAUUCCUUUCCCAUGACCACUGAGGGAUGCAGGCUAUGAGCCAUCCUGCAGCUAAAGAGAAGCUGAGACCUCCCGGAAGUCCAUCCCUUCUUGCAGCUCUGCUAAACCUCUAAUUUCUAAAUCUCUUCCAAGGAAACUCGCUCCUGUCUCCAGGACAGCCCAGGAGAGGAUUCCCUAAAGCUGGACCAGCACAAGCCCUGAGAAGUGUAAGUGUGCUGUGCUGCAUUGUGACAUUGAGCACUGAGCCAUCAGCAAAGGGACAGCAAACAAACUGCCUUGCCACUUGGUGCCAUCCUGGCUGGAAAAUCCAGCAGUUCCAGAUCUCCAAAGCCUGUUUCCAUCUGCUACCAAAGCUGAAUUCCUCCACUGGUUAGGCUGUGCAGGAGAUGGGAGGAGAACAUCUACGACAUAGUCAAUAAAAACUUUAAAGGGAAAUAAAGAGGUUGUUUGAAUAUUUAUCAGAACAAAGUGCAGGAGGAAUUUCAGGAUGAAUGGAAGAGUGUUCUCGGCACCAGAGCAAAUAGAUCUCUGCUUAUUAUAAGAUGAAAGCAGUGGGGUGGGUUUAUUGGUGUGUUGAGGUGACUUCUCACUACUCUACCUGACUUUAUGGUUGCUUUGACUCACUGGAAAACAUGAGCCAGCUGCCUCUGGCACUGCUGCUGCUGGGAGAUCUCCAGAGGACAACAACUGAUGGCUUUGCUCAGGGAGACCCACCAGCCAGCAGAAAGGAGCCAUCAGCUCAGUAUGUUUGGAAAGG